CUACAGAAGGUACCAUGGAAUGCGCUUCUCCAGGAGUCUGCCUGAUGACACGCAGAUCCUGCAGGAGGUGGAGCAGUGGCAGGCAGACCUGAAAUCAGCAGUUUCCCAAGGAGUCUUGGACACUUUUAAUGGACUUGAAAGUAAUGUGGCAAACUACCUCAUGAUCCUGUGACUAUGUCUUCCCACCAUGAAGGACCUUAUCUCCCCUCUUAAACUGUGAGCCCCAAUAAAUUAUUUUUUUAGGUUGUUUAUCUCAGGUAUUUUGUUACAACAAUGGGAAAAUAAUAUUGUCAUUAAAUAAUUUAAAAUGUAAGGAUGUCAAUGAACAUGUUCACAUUUGUCUUGGCUAUGCUAUCUAUACCUUGUCUCUGAGUUGAUGUUCUAUGAAACACCAAGAGUCAAGUGUGUUCAAAACCAGCAGAAAAAUCAUAAAAUCAGCCAUUUAUCGUUUGCUACUUGAAAUGUGUUGAAA